rnacentral:rRNA from 1 species
AGUGAACGCUGGCGGUAGGCCUAACACAUGCAAGUCGAACGGCAGCACAGUAAGAGCUUGCUCUUACGGGUGGCGCGUGGCGGACGGGUGAGUAAUACAUCGGAAUCUACUUUUUCGUGGGGGAUAACGUAGGGAAACUUACGCUAAUACCGCAUACGACCUACUGGUGAAAGCAGGGGAUCUUCUGACCUUGCGCUAGUGAAUGAGCCGAUGUCGGAUUAGCUAGUUGGCGGGGUAAAGGCCCACCAAGGCGACGAUCCGUAGCUGGUCUGAGAGGAUGAUCAGCCACCCUGGAACUGAGACACGGUACAGACUCCUACGGGAGGACGCAGUGGGGAAUAUUGGACAAUGGGGGCAAGCCUGAUCCAGCCAUACCGCGUGGGUGAAGAAGGCCUUCGGGUUGUAAAGCCAUUUUGUUGGGAGAGAAAAGCAGCAGGUUAAUACCCCGCUGUUCUGACGGUACCCAAAGAAUAAGCACCGGCUAACUUCGUG